rnacentral:lncRNA from 1 species
UUUAUGUGGAUAGCUAAUGUAAAAGUAAUUAUUGGAGAUAAAAAUACAUACUUUAAAGAUUAAAAUAAUAUAGUUAGCUUCACGGAAAGGUGAUUAUAAUUUUGAUAUAAUCGGCUGUCUAAAAACCUAUACAAUUUUUGAUAAAAUUAAUGUUUGACAGCGUAUUACGUUUAUUGUGCCAUCUUGUGCCACGUUAAAUCCUUCACUAGAUGAAAGAUUACAAUGUAAGGAA